GAUGAACGCUGGCGGCGUGCCUAAUACAUGCAAGUCGAGCGAACAGACGAGGAGCUUGCUCCUCUGACGUUAGCGGCGGACGGGUGAGUAACACGUGGAUAACCUACCUAUAAGACUGGGAUAACUUCGUGAAACCGGAGCUAAUACCGGAUAAUAUAUUUAACCGCAUGGUUCAAUAGUGAAAGACGGUUUUGCUGUCACUUAUAGAUGGAUCCGCGCCGCAUUAGCUAGUUGGUAAGGUAACGGCUUACAAAGGCAACGAUGCGUAGCCGACCUGAGAGGCUGAUCCGACCCAGUGGAACUGACACGCGGUCGAGCCUCCUAAGGGAGGCAGCAGUAGGGACUCAUCAGCCAUAGUAGAGAGCUUGACGGAGCAACGCGGCGUGAGUGCUGAAGGGCUUCGGAUCGUAAAACUCGGCUAUUAGGGCCGAACAACUGUGUAAGUAACCAUGCCCGAAUUGACGGUCCCUAAUCAGAAAGCAACGGCCAACUACGUG
rnacentral:rRNA from 1 species